rnacentral:tRNA from 1 species
GGGCCCAUAGCUCAGCUGGUCAGAGCAGGCGGCUCAUAACCGUCUAGUCCUAGGUUCAAAUCCUAGUGGGCCCACCA